rnacentral:rRNA from 1 species
GACGAACGCUGGCGGCGUGCUUAACACAUGCAAGUCGAACGGUAAGGCCCUUCGGGAUACACGAGUGGCGAACGGGUGAGUAACACGUGGGUGAUCUGCCCUGCACUUCGGGAUAAGCCUGGGAAACUGGGUCUAAUACCGGAUAGGACCACUGCCUGCAUGGGUGGUGGUGGAAAGCUUUUGCGGUGUGGGAUGGGCCCGCGGCCUAUCAGCUUGUUGGUGGGGUGAUGGCCUACCAAGGCGACGACGGGUAGCCGGCCUGGGAGGGUGACCAGCCACACUGGGAAUGGGCUCCCGCCCGUACUCCUACGGGAGGCAGCAGUGGGGAAUAUUGCACAAUGGGCGCAAGCCUGAUGCAGCGACGCCGCGUGAGGGAUGACGGCCUUCGGGUUGUAAACCUCUUUCAGCACCGACGAAGCGCAAGUGACGGUAGGUGCAGAAGAAGGACCGGCCAACUACGUGCCAGCCGCCGCCGUAA